CGCCCCCCGGCGCGAAGGACCUGCGGAUCGGGGUGGACAGAGGCAUUGUUUAUAUUCUCUUGCUUGAUGCCCAAAACAAACACAGAGGAAGAAAAUCCAGCUGUUUCCAGAGCGAUGGAAUCAGGAGUCGGGUGUUGGAAAAGCGCCAGUUGUCACGAGAUUUGUAACCCAGGCUGAAAUGUCCUGUGCUUGCAUUUUGACCUUUGUCUAGCACCCACGGCUGGCCUGCCUUCUCUGCCUCAGCUCCUCCUGACUGGCGUCCUUGCGUUUGGAUCUGUGCUGGGAUUGGUUCUGAGACAACAUAAACACAGCGUGACUCAUGGAUUUGAAGAAGUGUAAGGGUGAAGAACGUGAAGUCAUCAAGGUUAGGAGAAGCAAUGCCAGCGAUGAACAUUGGACUUCUAAUCACGUUCAAGGAGAGAUGAUUCCAUUCAUUUUAUAAGGUUUGGAACUUUUGGGGUUUUUAAGCAUAUUCAGUCAUGGAGAGCAUCUCAAAACAGUGCAAGCAGAGGCAGUCUGCCCACCGCUUCAGAUGUUUUCUUCCUAUUGGGAAGCAAACUGCACUUCACCUCUGAAGUCAAGUCACCCACUGUAUCUUAAAAUCAUCAGCACCUCCCCGAUUAGGUAGUUCUUCCAAGAGUUUAUACCCAGAGUUACAUACCUCUCAAACGCAUCUCCUCAUUUCCCCAGUCAUUAGAAAUUGAAACUGAGGGCUGGAGAGAUGGCUAAGUGGUUAAGAGCACUGAGUGUUCUCCCACAGGUCCUGAGUUCAAAUCCCAGCAACCGCAUGGUGGCUCACAACCAUCUGUAAUGAGAUCCGAUGCACUCUUCUGGUCUGUCUAAAGACAGCUACAGUGUACUUAAAUAUAAUAAAUAAAUAUAAUAAAUAAAUAAAUAAAUCUAAAAAAAGACUGUGAAGAAC
ensembl:lncRNA